rnacentral:misc_RNA from 1 species
GAUGAAGAACGCAGCUAAAUGCGAUACGUAAUGUGAAUUGCAAAUUCAGUGAAUCAUCGAGUCUUUGAACGCACAUUGCGCCCCCUGGUAUUCCGGGGGGCAUGCCUGUCCGAGCGUCAUUGCUGCCCUCAAGCACGGCUUGUGUGUUGGGCCCCGUCCUCCGAUCCCGGGGGACGGGCCCGAAAGGCAGCGGCGGCACCGCGUCCGGUCCUCGAGCGUAUGGGGCUUUGUCACCCGCUCUGUAGGCCCGGCCGGCGCUUGCCGAUCAACCCAAAUUUUUUAUCCAGGUUGACCUCGGAUCAGGUAGGGAUACCCGCUGAACUUAAGCAUAUCAAUAAGCGGAGGA